UUCAGUCACUGUUUCUGGUGGA
rnacentral:miRNA from 1 species